rnacentral:rRNA from 1 species
GUGGGGAAUAUUGGACAAUGGGCGAAAGCCUGAUCCAGCCAUGCCGCGUGUGUGAAGAAAGUCUUCGGAUUGUAAAGCACUUUAAGUUGGGAGGAAGGGCAGUAAGUUAAUACCUUGCUGUUUUGACGUUACCGACAGAAUAAGCACCGGCUAACUUCGUGCCAGCAGCCGCGGUAAUACGAAGGGUGCAAGCGUUAAUCGGAAUUACUGGGCGUAAAGCGCGCGUAGGUGGUUUUGUAAGUUGGAGGUGAAAUCCCCGGGCUCAACCUGGGAACUGCCUCCAAAACUGCAUGACUAGAGUACGGUAGAGGGUAGUGGAAUUUCCUGUGUAGCGGUGAAAUGCGUAGAUAUAGGAAGGAACACCAGUGGCGAAGGCGACUACCUGGACUGAUACUGACACUGAGGUGCGAAAGCGUGGGGAGCAAACAGGAUUAGAAACCCUGGUAGUCC